ACGAACGCUGGCGGCGUACUUAACACAUGCAAGUCGAACGAGAAAAGAAGCUUCGGCUUCCGAGUACAGUGGCGAACGGGUGCGUAACACGUAAGCAAUCUGCCCCAGACAUUGGGAUAACUUCUCGAAAGGGGAGCUAAUACCAAAUAGUUCCCAAUGGCACAAGCCAUGGGGGGAAAGGGCCUCUAUACUAUGCUCGCGGUGUGGGAUGAGCUUGCGGUCCAUUAGCUUGUUGGUGGGGUAAUGGCCUACCAAGGCAGCGAUGGAUAGCUGGUCUGAGAGGAUGAUCAGCCACACUGGCACUGAGACACGGGCCAGACUCCUACGGGAGGCAGCAGUGGGGAAUUUUGCGCAAUGGGCGAAAGCCUGACGCAGUAACGCCGCGUGGAGGAUGAAGGCCCUUGGGUUGUAAACUCCUGCCAGGGGGGAAGAUAGUGUCGUUGCAAAUAGCUUUGGCACUAUGACGGUACCCCCAAAGGAAGCCCCGGCUAAUUCCGUGCCAGCAGCCGCGGUAAUACGGAAGGGGCAAGCGUUGUUCGGAAUUAUUGGGCGUAAAGGGCGCGUAGGCGGUCUCGUGUGUCUGCUGUGAAAGUUCACGGCUCAACCGUGAAGGGUCGGCGGAAACUGCGAGACUUGAGGCUGGGAGGGGCUGGUGGAAUUCCCUGUGUAGCGGUGAAAUGCGUAGAUAUAGGGGAGAACACUCGUGGCGAAGGCGGCCAGCUGGACCAGACCUGACGCUGAGGCGCGACAGCGUGGGGAGCAAACAGGAUUAGAUACCCUGGUAGUCCACGCCGUAAACGAUGGGCACUAGGUGUCGGCGGUCUUCAUCCCGUCGGUGCCGGCGCUAACGCAGUAAGUGCCCCGCCUGGGGAGUACGGUCGCAAGGCUGAAACUCAAAGAAAUUGACGGGGGCCCGCACAAGCGGUGGAGCAUGUGGUUUAAUUCGACGCAACGCGAAGAACCUUACCUGGGUUUGACAUGCACUAGACCGGCAGUGAAAGCUGUCUUCUCUUCGGAGCUGGUGCACAGGUGCUGCAUGGCUGUCGUCAGCUCGUGUCGUGAGAUGUUGGGUUAAGUCCCGCAACGAGCGCAACCCUCGCCCUCUGUUGCUAACGGGUUAUCCCGUGCACUCUGAGGGGACUGCCCCGGUUAACGGGGAGGAAGGUGGGGAUGACGUCAAGUCCUCAUGGCCUUUAUGUCCAGGGCUACACACGUGCUACAAUGGCUAGGACAAUGGGUUGCUCCUCUGCAAAGAGUCGCUAAUCCCAAAAACCUAGUCUCAGUUCGGAUGGUCGGCUGCAACUCGCCGGCUUGAAGCUGGAAUCGCUAGUA
rnacentral:rRNA from 1 species